CUGUAGCUGGCUGAGCGCAGCGCGUCCCUGCCUGCAGCUGUGGCACGGCAAUGACCUACAGCCCGUGCUCCUCCCAUUGAUGUGGGUGCACGCAGACUUUGCAGGGUCCAAGCUCUGCAUUUUAGUACUCAUUUUGAAUGAGUUUUCUUUAAAUCACGUUUAUUUUCGAUGUUGGCUUUCUCGGGACCGCAUUCAGGAUCUGAGCUUUCUGCAUCAGAAUCCAAGACAACUCCUCAUUUUGUUGAAGAAUUGUCCAGAAAUGAAGAAGACUUUCCUGUCAGAGGGAGAUUUCUCUGCCAUGGAUCUCAUCUGGGUUCUGGAAACUACUGUUCCCCUGAGAAAAUGAAGGGAAUAUGGACCUCUCCAGGAGUCAAAUUUCUGUCUUUUGCAUACCUGCACUGAUUGGGCUUCCAAGGUGGGAGAUUUCUUACCUUCUCCUUUGGAUAGUAACAGCAGAGCAUUUGUUUGGUCCACCUUGCCCAGGGAGGAGGCUACCAUCAGCACUAGUGGGCAUGCAGGUUCAGAGAGAUGGGCAGGAUCUGCAUGAGCCUUGAACCAAGACUGCUGAACACGUCAGUAGGUGUUUUGCUUGACUUUACACUCCAUGUUUGGGCAUGUUUGAAAGCAGGCAAGGCAGUUGACUGAAUGCAUUCAGAUCUCCAGCCCAGAGGAGAUGACAAUUUAAUUUUGAAUCACAGAAUCACAGAGUAACACAGAAUCACAGAACUGCAGCGGUUGGAAGGGACCUCAUGAAAACGAAUCCAGCUCCCCUGCUAAAGCAGGUACCCUACAGCACGUUGCAUAGGUAGGUGUCCAGAUGGAUCUUGAAUAUUCCCAUAGAAAGAGACCCCACAACCUCUCUGAGCAGCCUGUUCCCCUUACUGUAAAGAAGUUCUUCUGCAAGUUGGUACAGAACUUCCUAUGUUCAAGUUUUAGGUAAUUGUUCCUUGUCCUGUUGUUACACACCACUGAGAAUAGACUGACCCCAUCCAUUUGCCUUUGACCUCCCUUUAGAUAUUUAUAAACAUUUAUCAGAUCUCUCCUCAGUCAUUUCACCAGGUGAACAGACCCAGGUUACUCAGACUUUCCUCAUAUGUGAGAUGGUCCAAGUCCUUUACCAUCUUUGUGGCCCUCCACCAGUCUCCUUCUAGGAGAUCCCUGUGUUUUUUGAACUGAGGAGCCCAGAACUGGACACAGUACUCCAGAUGUGGCAUCAUCAGGGCAGAGUAGAGGGGGAGGAUCACUUCUGUUGACCUGCUGGCCAUGCUGAUGACCAGCAGGAUGAGCUAAAAAAAAUAGGAGAUGAGGUUGCCCAUAGAUGCAACCCUCUUGGAGCUUCUCUAAAACAAGCCCAUCUGUUUGCUCAUAUUUACCCUGUCUGGAUGAUGCCACAGACUUUUUUGCAGCUAGCAUUUCCCAGUGUUGUUGAAUUCAGGGUGGAAAUAGUGGUGAAAACAUUUUCCUGGGACUCUUCCUCCCCUCUGAACUGAAAUGGAGCCCACCCCUGGCAAGAGAUGGGCAGGUGGAAGACAGCGUAAGUGUUGUGUGGAAAGGGACACUGACCUGCUCUGUCGCCUCUGAUGAAUUACUUCCACAAAGCAGCAACGUGGUUAUCUUUAACAAGAACUUUGUCCAGCACAGCGAGGCUUUCCUUCAGCUUCGCCACUGUGGAAUACUCUCAUAACUUUAAUUCAUAUCAGGGGUCGAUUGUGAGUUUAAAUAUAUGCAAUGCACUUUUAAGUCUUGUGCAAACAAAGACCAGACAGGGACUGGGACAAACUGAUGCAUGAGCAACCAUGUUGUUCCUUCUCCAGUCCAAGAACUGGAUUCUUUCACAAAAUCCUCUGUGUGGCAGUGAUAACAAGACAAAUAUUUGACAUAGCUGUAAGAUAACACUCUGACACGCUAGUAAACACAAGUGAAUUAGUGGUUAUGAGAGAGACCCCAUGACACAGUUGCUUGCAGUAAGUUGGAUGCCAUCUCUUAGAAGACUUCUUGCAACCUGUUCUUAUCGGUUUUUGGUACAGAUUAAUGGGGAGACUUCCAGUAGGAUUUGGGUUACUGUCUGGCAUAGACACUUUUGAAAAUCUUACCUUAUCUCUAUGUAAUGACUAUGUAAUUCAUGCAGUGUGUUGAAGGUACACUUGAAAAAGUAGGUCUGGAUCGUAAUAUCCCUCCCUGCAUCCUUCUUUCCCAUCAGGCCAAAAUGGCACACCUCUGUGUGUGCUGGAUUACAAUUUAUGCUGAAAAUGUUCCACAAAGGUCAUAGCAGCUAUCUGAGGAACAAGCAGAGCUGUGCACCCUGCCCUGUGCUCAUGUAGAUUACCAGAGGUAGCAAUAAGGCCAGGGACUGUGUGCAGUAAGGAAAACUAGAGAAACUUGGAAACUGCGCAGGCUUUAGAUUGUAGAGUGUUACGAAGGGCUCAGAUGGGAGAGUUUACCAGAAGAAGUGCAAUUUAGAAAUUGAAACAGAUGGAAUUUCAGUAUCCUUUGCAAAUUGGCGUAUCAGACUCCUACAAUAGCUUGCAGAAUCCUUGUCCCUCCCAGUGCAUAGCUGGUUCUUACUCCCUGAACUUGAUUUGUUAACAUCUGAUGUCGAAGGGUCUGUUUCUUAUUUUUGUUGAGUUAUACCUUAAAUGUGUCCUUUUUGGCUACUUAUGUUCUCAUUUCUGCAAAGCGGCAGCCAAGCAGGGGCCCAAGAGCUCAUUCCUGGCCUUCAGAUUUAUUCCCAUCGCUUUGAUGGGUUGAGUCUGGUGCUGCCUGUAUUGCAGAGCACCUGGAUGGGGCGAUCACAGGCAUUCACUGGCACUGUGAUCUCAGCUGUGGAAACAAUUUUGCUGGCAGCAGAAGCUCAGUUUCACUGGGGAGGGGCCCAUAUUUCUUGUUUGAAGUGUGUGAAGCCUCAUCACAGUUCUGUUAUCAGACCCACUGGAAUUUUUUCCUUUCCUCUCUUCUUGGUCCACCUUCUCUCAUUCCUCUAAAUCUUACUUUACUUCUGCUUCUUCUCAAAGUCUCUAAUGUUACUUUUCUGGCUCUUUUUUUCUGUAAUCUCUCCCUUCAUUUUUUCUUCACCCAUUAGCUCUUCCUUCACGAUGCUCCUCUACUGCCUCCUCCAUUUUCUCUGCCUCUCUUGUUCACUUUCCAGGUGCCUCUCAUUCUUCUCCCCAUGUCCUCACUUUCAUUUCUUCUCCAGAAGCUCUCUGAAUUGCUGCAGCUAUGGGGUAUACCCCUUGGAAAGAUAGCCCUGUCUGAGUUAGAGGUGCUGUGAGCUGCAGAUCUGUUGCUGAUGUUAGUAUUUUUUUUGACAAGUGACACAGGUGACACAAGUGACACAGGGGGCCCAUGGAGCCAAGUAGCGUAGCUGGGCAGUAGAAGGCAGCUUAUGCCACAAAAGACAUCACUUGCUCCAUGGACCAAAAGAGAUUACAGCCCCAUUCCGACACAUAAACCAUUGAGGUUUACUGAAAAUAAGGAUUGAUUUGCUGGGCUAUUUAGAGGCAUUAAGAUGCAGAUAUAUAUUUUCUCCCCAGUCUGAUGUCAUUUUGCAUGUUAACUGCCUAAUUCCUUUUAGCCUAUUGAUUUUACUGGUUUAUAAGAAUGACACUUGUGUAGAAACUGUGGAGAACUUUGCUCAGGGUGACCAGUGAAGACUGUCAGUUUCUCUCAGUCGUCUUAUGGGGGGACUGAAGGCUCAGCACAGUUUAAGAGGAGAAAAAAUAGGGAGAGAAAGAACAAUGGCACUUCAUAGACCAUACUCCUUAGGUUGUAUCUGACUCUGGCUAAAUGACCUGGACUGAAAAAUGUUUUCCUGAGGCUCAGCUCAGCUGACAUCUGCAGCAUGGUCCUCAUAUUUUGUGAUAGUCGAGAGUGGUAUUCAUGAAAUUCUGUGUCAACUUCUUUAGCAUAUUAAGAUUGAAGAAUGCUAUGAAGUAAGCAUGAAUAUCAUUAUUCAAUUUCUCUUCCUUCUAGUAACUCUGAUUUACUUCAGAUUUUACGUGAUCUCCCAAUUAUCAGAGUUUGAUGUGCCACAGGUGUUUCUAUAAGCAUACUGUUGUAUUGCUUUUCGUUCCUUGGAGAACAGUUGAUGCUUUGCCAAUGUCUGAAUGGACCUGCUAACUCUGAGAGCAAAGAAGUGGUUAAUUUGAUAAUAUUUAACUUGCUAAACCAUUCAUAUGCAGAGGUAACGUGCUCAGGAGUUGAACAGGGCAGUGCGAUCUCCCUUAGCUAUCAUUUCAGGAUGCCUGCAGAAUCAGGAAGGCCGUGUAUCAGCUUACACUCAACUUGGUAAUCUUGCAUGGGGCCUGUUUGUGUCUCUUGUGCUGAAGGCUGAAUGUAAAAUGAACAUUGUUAGCCAAGAAAGCAAAUAAAGGGAACUAUUUCCCAAGGCAUUUUACUCUGUUUAUUUAACGCCUCUGAACAAACCCCUUUCCACAUCCUCUGAACCUACUGGCAACUUCAGAUAGCUCCAUUUCCUGCUGGGUGAGUUUUUUCUAAAAUGUUUAUUCAGCUCCAGGAAAUGAUGAUUUCCUGAAUAUUCUGAAACUUCAUAUUUUUGUUGUAUCCCUGUUUAUUUAAUAGUCUUACUUAUUGUGUGAGUGUGCAAAGCACAACAACAUCCCUUGCCAUGUAACUGUGGAAGGAGUGGAACUUGAUGUAGUACAUCAAAAACCAGUUUAAGUGAAACUAGAUCUGUUUUUGCCAAUUUAUACACUAGUGUAUUUCCAUUAGCUUGAGUAGUUACUCCUUAUUUACACUGACCUUAAUGAGUUCAGAAGUAGGCUUUUAAAUUUCUCCUACUCCUUAAGAAAAAGUGCCUAAAAAUUCAAACUAGUGAAGGAGAAUUAAUUAGCCCAAAGCUCAACAUUUUAUAAUUCACAGCUUACAUUAAUGUCUGCUAGUUUUCUUUAUGCAGGAAACCAAUAGAAGGCACCAAAUGUUUUCGUCGCCCUCCGCUGGGACUAAAAUUGAGAAAUUCUUAUUUUGUGAGGUCAAAGCUAACCUGUAUCCAGCACCCCAUCCCAACAUGGGUUUCACUAAAGAGAUUGAAACCUGUACACAGCCUUAAUGAAAAGGCCAUAAUAUUUUAUGUGAACCAGGAGUAACUAUGCUGAAAUGAGAAGUGCUUCACUAAGGUAAAUCAAGUGGGAUUGGUCCCAAAAGAAAUUCAGGAAUUACAUAGCUUUGCCAUUAACCUUGAACUGAGCCAAGUGUGUCUUCCAUGCUUUCUCCUUCUUUCUUGUCUACUUUUUGUUAACCUGCAUGGUCAGCUAUGACUUUUUUUUUUUUUUUCUUUUCUUUUUACAGGCAGAAAAGGUAAUUUAUGUUUCUUCUGAGCCUCAAGAGACAAUAUGGGCAUGCUGCGUUACCAUGCCCUAAAUGAAAUCUUAGAGUACCUAAGUAAAACUCACUCCACCCUUACCUGGAAGUUCCACUCAUGGAAACCACAUCCUUUCAUUGCCACCCACGUCUCCAUUUGGAAAGGACUUUGAAGGAGGAAGACUGAAGAUUAGAUCAUUCUUUUAUUAAGCAUCCUUUUGUCUGUUUUGCUCCAGAAACCAUGCUCUUCCUCUCCUAUGAGUCAUUUGUUGUUACUCUUACAAUUUCUGUGGUAGGAAGGCUGGGUGCUUUCCCCCAAUUUAAAAUGUUCUUUUUAGAGUUUCUCUUCUCUUCUCUUCUCUUCUCUUCUCUUCUCUUCUCUUCUCUUCUCUUCUCUUCUCUUCUCUUCUCUUCUCUUCUCUUCUCUUCUCUUCUCUUCUCUUCUCUUCUCUUCUCUUCUCUUUUUUUUUCUUCUCUUUUUUUCUUCCCUUUCCUUCCCUUCCCUUCCACUCCCUUCCCUUCUCCUUUUCCUCUCCUCUCCCUUUCUUCUCCCCUCCCCUCCCCUCUCCUCCCUUCCUUCCUUCCAUGUCCCUUCUUUGUUUUUUGUUAUGCAUUUCAUAUUCAUUCACUAUUUUUACCCAAUUCAGACAGAGCCAUGCUACAUUGUGGACUGUUGCCAAAAAUUCUGCCAGUGACAAAGAUUGAAGCCUUCAUACGAACUGGAAGGAGUCUGUUCUUGGUCCACCCCAUGUGAAGCAACACUGUGCCCAUGCAUCUCUAUCUGAGAUGAAUAUUCUUUCUUUUGAUGCCAAGUAUUUGAUGUCCACCUACUGAGCUGAGUAAUCUCUGAGGAUGCCAUUGUUGCCAUGUUACCUCCUUCCUGAGUUCCUGUUGUGUAACUUUCCCACCAAGGCCUGAAUCUUGAUAUGUUUGCUAUAUGAUACUACCACAAUUCCUUAAGGAGUAACAUGAUAGUUUUCUGCAGAGGAAUGUUUUCUGAACAUGGCCAAAAUAUGGCAUUUGGAAAAGUGAGCUGCACAUCAUUUCUCCAAAUGAGAAUGCAAAUAGCGGAGAAUGCAAAUAGCUGGCCUUUUAAAGCCUCCCUGAAAAUUUCAUAGACAACUCAGAUCAAUAUGAUUUAAAGGACUUCUCUCCUGACAACACUAACCCUAUGGAUAGUCCCCCCCAUGCUGUCUGUGAUCAUCCUACCAGGCCCUGCUGCCAGCAUGAAAAAUACAAUAUCAAGUUUGAGGAAAUCUGUGGCAGAAAAUAACGCCAACUUUUGCAUGUACUACUGAGUAACUGGACUCCAAAAGUGAAACAGAGAGAGUGACAAGUAAUGAUGGACAAGAAAAGGCUCAUCCCUUAGACACAAAGCAAGCUCCAAGAUCUGCUCUUCCUACUUGUGUUAUAUUUACCUUGUCUUUCUGUACUGUGGAGACACAGGCACUCACAGGGCAUGGUGAUCCAAGCUUGCAAAUGGAAACAAGGUCUACAGCCUCGGUGAGGAAGCUGGCAUGGUGGGGUGUGUUAAGGCCCACAACAUAUUACAUGAUGAUGGAUUGAUGGGACCACAUCAAGGGGCCCUGAGAGCAAUGUGGCUCUUUGGCCCCAUAAUAACACCAGUGACAAAAAUCAAAGGAAUAAGAAGGAGCAGUUAACAUUUCCUCCACAAAUGCUAAAAACAGCACCAAAUAAUGUGUAUGAAUCAUCAUAUCUACUCUUACGCAAGCUGGAAUAAAAAUGUAAGAGUCAUGCAAACUGGGAUAAACUGUCACGCUCUGAGACAUAAUGCAUCUCCAGAAGUAAAGAAGAAACUGUUCCACAGGCAAGACUUGGCAUAAUUACACUCUGUGCGGGAUUUUGCACCUUUCUUUAAAGUAUCUGUGCUAACAACUGCCAGAGAUGACGUACCAAGCUGCAGAAGGCGUUUGGCUAACCUGCAGUGGCAGUGCCUAUCUCACUACUGGUUUAAUUCUGUCCCCCUUCCACUUUUUCACUACACACCCAUGCUACGAGACUGUAUGACAAAUGCCACUCAAAGGCAAGAGGUACACAUCCAGUAUUAGGUUUGUAAGGCAAUUAAAUUGUCCUUUUAAUGUUCUCUUAAUCACUGUGGUUUCUGUAGCGCCAUAUUAGAUACAUGUUGAAAUGAUGUCUUACUUCCACUGAUUAUACCAGUGUCCUUGUCUUUAAUGCAUUCACACUUCUGAAAGUUACUGCUCUUUUUGUCUUGUCUCCAGCUACAAUAUUCAGAAGACUAUGUUCUUAAAAGCAGCAAUUAGCACAUUGCAGUGGUACAGACGUCAACUAAUCCCCAUGGUGAUGAGAUCCCAAAGGCAAAGCAUGUGCUAACAAUCUGAACAAUACCAGGGAGCAUUUCUGGGCAUUGGGACUCAGUCAUCUAUAUUGCUAAAUUACCAGGAUCCCUCCAGGCACAUUUUCAGCCCAUCCUGACCACCAAUGUCAAACAGUCCCCAGUAUUGGAGUCAGCUUGGGACACUGACCAUUCCCCUCAAGCAGUUCGGAUGUGAUCACCCUCCCCUGGAGAGUUUCACAGUGCAGAUGAAAUGCAUCCCAUUCUGUGCCCAGGGGGCCUCCCUUCCAGAGGACAGCAAUAGAUGCAGUUAAUACAGUAAUGUUGAUAGCUGAGGUUCUCCCAUCUCAUAUUCACUUCUUGCUUUCAUUCCCUGUACUCAUGAAAUUCUUACUCUCGUCUGCCUUCUCUUCUGCUUUAUCACAUAGCGUGGUGUGAUGCCCAUGACUUAAGCAAGGAUAGCCAUCAUUCUUCGUGCUCCCCCAUAAGCAAGGUGUUUAGGGCUGCAGGACUCACAGGAUGCCCUGGGUUCUGGAUUUUCUUAUGUUUAGAAUCCCUUUCCUCAGAGCCAGGAACUACAGUGAUUUAGCAAACAGUGUGAUAUCUAAUAGCUAGCAAGCUGAGAGGUAUGGAACAGCCAACGGGGAAAGCCCUGCAAAAGAACAGAGUGAAUCCCAGAGCCACGGCUGGGUGCCUAUGGCUGCUACCUUUGGUGAAAACUGAUGGUGCCUGUCAUUUUGGGGGAUUAGGUUCUUGAACUAGCCCUGUCUUAGAGACUGUUAGGUAUAGAGGCAGGCCAGUAAAUGAUUUCUGGUUUCAGGAGUGGCUGGGGGGAUUAGUAUACACAUGUGUUUACAGCCUUGCAGUGGCAGUAGGUUGCCUAAAUGUUCUGUGGAUCAAACUACACAUCAGCCAGUGCUGAGAUUUACAGGGCUUCCUUGCAGUUCAGCUUAUUAUGGCCCAUGGUGCCUCACCACAGUUCUCCUGGCAAGUGUCUUAGCACGAAGAGCCAGACCAAGGUCAGGAUACUUCCAAAUUCAUCAAAAGGGGACUGGAAUUAACCACAGGCAGUGCAGGGCACUAUGUUGUCCCCAUGCAGCAGUAUCACAUUCCCCGUUGGGUCCCAUGUGUCAUCCAGAGCUGCUUGAUGUGCUGUGUUAUAAGCACAGGCUUUCUCUAUCCGAACCACACCAUAUGGGUGCCUCAUUCCUUUUACAUGCGGCUGCAGGUUUCCUGCUGCAUAUGCUCAGCCUCCCACAGCUGGAAGCAGUAAGAGGUAGUUUGAUCUACAUGUUAUACUCAGGAAGGAUUGAAGUUUGCAAAUUUUUAGCACUCUGCACGCUAGCAGGCCCAUAAUAAUCUUUAUUGGCGGGUUUGUUUGCUUUAUGGUUGCAAUUUUCAUCCUUCGAUGAGAAGCUUCCAGCACUUCCUGCAGGAGCAGAAGGCUAUUGUCACUUUAUCACUUCACAGUUGCAGAUCUCUGUCCACCACUCACUGGUCUGUGGUAAACAACAUCUCCAGCGUUGCUUCUGUCCGUCAAGGGAAAGGGUUGAGCUGGCAUUUUGCCACAUUUGGCAAGUGUGGGCUGAUACAAACGAUACGAGGUUUUUUUUAUAGUGCCUAUCACCAGAGUAUCAAAGCGCUGAAACACUGCUAGUCGUGUUUGCCUCCCCAUUGAUCUUAUCACCAAAGGCCAGUCCUACCAUCCGUCUUCCAUGUGGUAUUGCUUAGAGGCUUUGUUUUGUCAGAUAGGCUGCUCUGCAUCCAGUGCUGGGGUAGGCUCUAACUCUGGGAUCUGGUUCCAGGCUUUAAUUAGGACUGAUAGCAAAUGGGCUGUUCACAAAUGCUUUUUGCAAGAUGACUCCUGCACAGUCAGAAGCUCUCUUAAAUUCAUUUGUCUCAUGUAGUGAACUUUUCAUUGCUUUAAGAGGCCUACGGAUGCUGCAGGUGUUAAAACUGAGGUCAAAGUAUUCUACAUCAGGUGGAACCCACAUAGGCAACAUCCUAGAAACUAAUUUGUAAUAAGUCUGUGAUGUUCAGAACGAGAUGGUUCUGCCAAUCUGAGCUGACUGACUGUUUGUUCAUGAUCUAUAUAAUAGUUGCAUUAGACCUUUUAAAUUUCAAUAUAUUUUUAUGCUUUGGCACUCCCCAGACACAUUGAAAUAAAUCUUGUGCAUUUCUGCAUGUUGCAGCAACUGGGUAAGUGCUACUGUGGUCAGUUUUAAUAGGUAUUAAUACAGUAAGUAGCAAGCAAAUUAUAACUGUUUCACAUUAGACGUAAUUUUACAGCAGACAAUUUUAUAAGGAGAAUGGAAUGAAUCAAAUACAGUAGUUUGUAUUAAAAUAUCUUUUACAUUCCCUGUGUUCCAGUGGAACUGAUGACAAGUCUAAGGAAGCAUGCUAGGACAAACAGACCAGAAAAUUAAAUUCUUCUAGCUUUCAUAUGCCACAGCAGGAAUAAUUUGGCUUUUUUUUUCUUUCUUUCUCAGCCUUUCUUUCAAUUUUCUUUUUUGGAGAGAGGAUGACAAUGUAGUAUUACAUUUCCAAAUCCUAUAAAAAACCAUACAUUUUCAGUUUCAUACAACUAUGGUCUGGUUUAGUUCCUCUGGAUGGACUCUAAUGUGGUAUUCGUGAUAAUGUCAUUUACUUUGCAUGUGAAUAAAGCCAAAUGGUUACAGACAAGGCUUGAAUCUCAUAGCUCUGGAUCUUUGGGAAAUGUUUAUUCUCUCAAUUAAGCAUAUAUAUAUUUGCCAGAUGUACAAGGUCUCACAGCGUUUUUAUGUACACCCCAUGCUAAAAGAGUCUGUGCUCAAGCUCUAGAUCCCACUGAAUGCAGAGCACUUCAACAUGUGGGUGUCUUUGCACUGAGGCAUUGGCUGCUUUGAUCUCAGUGUUCUUCGUGAGUCAGGAGAUCACUGUGAAGGCUCUGAGGGACUUCGUGUCUGCUGGCAUCAGUGGGGCAUCCAGAUCAGAUCUUCCUUAGUAAGAUGGGAGCUUAUUCAGCCUGAUUUUCACUGUCCAAAGGUGGAGUGCCUUGCCUCGACUAGCUAUGAUCAAUAUGGAGAGAGACACACCUAUCAGGGAGCCAUUUAUUUCAUGCUUAUGUAUGAGAUAAUCAGUCUUAUUCAAGACCAGUGGGAGAACUGGCUCCUGUCUGUAUAUCACCUGUAAGGAGAGCCCAAACAACAGGCUUGGCUAGGUGACUACCAUUCAGAUAGCUGUGCUAUAGGGCUAAGAUACAGACAGGCUGCCACCUGGGUGGAGACAACCAUCUACAUGUGAUGCAUGUGGUGAUGGAAGUCACCAUGUUCUCAAGCCCUUUCUUUACCUUGGAGCAGACACAGCACUGGUCAUAAAUCAGCAGUAAAUAAAAUGCUAAAACUUAACAAGUUGAAAAGAAUAAUCAACUCAUGCUUACAUAGGAGUUACAUGAAAACUUCCUAAAAAUAUUUGCGUUAUGAAUCUGUCUAUCCCUGGUCUAGAGAGGUUCCAGCAGUC
ensembl:lncRNA